GCGUCGGUGGUGUAAAGGCGUAGAGCAUUCCCGCCCGGUCGAAAAGGGAGGCGCGGGUUCGAGUCCCGCCUGGCGCU
rnacentral:tRNA from 1 species